rnacentral:rRNA from 1 species
GCAUAUCAAUAAGCGGAGGAAAAGAAACCAACAGGGAUUGCCUCAGUAGCGGCGAGUGAAGCGGCAAGAGCUCAGAUUUGAAAUCGUGCUUUGCGGCACGAGUUGUAGAUUGCAGGUUGGAGUCUGUGUGGAAGGCGGUGUCCAAGUCCCUUGGAACAGGGCGCCCAGGAGGGUGAGAGCCCCGUGGGAUGCCGGCGGAAGCAGUGAGGCCCUUCUGACGAGUCGAGUUGUUUGGGAAUGCAGCUCCAAGCGGGUGGUAAAUUCCAUCUAAGGCUAAAUACUGGCGAGAGACCGAUAGCGAACAAGUACUGUGAAGGAAAGAUGAAAAGCACUUUGAAAAGAGAGUGAAACAGCACGUGAAAUUGUUGAAAGGGAAGGGUAUUGCGCCCGACAUGGGAUUGCGCACCGCUGCCUCUCGUGGGCGGCGCUCUGGGCUUUCCCUGGGCCAGCAUCGGUUCUUGCUGCAGAAAGGGGUCUGGAACGUGGCUCUU